AGCGAACGCUGGCGGCAGGCCUAACACAUGCAAGUCGAACGGAUCCUUCGGGAUUAGUGGCGGACGGGUGAGUAACACGUGGGAACGUGCCCUCUGGUUCGGAACAACUCAGGGAAACUUGAGCUAAUACCGGAUGUGCCCUUCGGGGGAAAGAUUUAUCGCCAUUGGAGCGGCCCGCGUCUGAUUAGCUAGUUGGUGAGGUAAAGGCUCACCAAGGCGACAAUCAGUAGCUGGUCUGAGAGGAUGAUCAGCCACAUUGGGACUGAGACACGGCCCAAACUCCUACGGGAGGCAGCAGUGGGGAAUCUUGCGCAAUGGGCGAAAGCCUGACGCAGCCAUGCCGCGUGAAUGAUGAAGGUCUUAGGAUUGUAAAAUUCUUUCACCGGGGACGAUAAUGACGGUACCCGGAGAAGAAGCCCCGGCUAACUUCGUGCCAGCAGCCGCCGUAACAC
rnacentral:rRNA from 1 species